rnacentral:rRNA from 1 species
UUACCGGCUUGACAUGAAAGAGAUUCCUUCGGGCACAGGUGGUGCAUGGCUGUCGUCAGCUCGUGUCGUGCGAUGUUGGGUUAAGUCCCGCAACGAGCGCAACCCCGUGUGUGUUGCCAGCAUAUGGGACUCACACAGACUGCCCGUGGAAACGGGAGGAAGGUGGGGAUUACGUCAAGUCAUCAUGCCCCUUACGCCGGGCUACACACAUGCUACAAUGGGGUACAUGAGGCACCGCGAGGGAAGCAAUCUAAAACCGCCUCAGUUCGGAUUGUAGUCUGCAACUCGACUACAUGAAGCUGGAAUUGCUAGUAAACGCAAUCAGAAUGUGCGUUGAAUACGUUCCCGGGCCUUGUACACACCGCCCGUCACACCAUGAGAGUUGGAAACCGAA